UUUGAAAUCUGGCGGUCUCAGGCCGUCCGAGUUGUAAUCUAGAGAGGUGUUUUCCGUGCCGGACCGCGUACAAGUCCCUUGGAACAGGGCGUCAUAGAGGGUGAGAAUCCCGUCCGUGACGCGGACUUCCGGUGCUCUGUGAUACCCCUUCGAAGAGUCGAGUUGUUUGGGAAUGCCGCUCAAAAUGGGUGGUAAAUUCCAUCUAAAGCUAAAUACAGGCGAGAGACCGAUAGCGAACAAGUACCGUGAGGGAAAGAUGAAAAGAACUUUGGAAAGAGAGUUAAACAGUACGUGAAAUUGUUGAAAGGGAAACGCUUGAAGUCAGUCGCGUCUGCAGGGACUCAACCUUGCUUCUGCUUGGUGCAAUUCUCGGUAGAUGGGCCAGCAUCGAUUUUGGUCGCCGGAAAAGGGUGAGAGGAAUGUGGCAGCUUGCUGUGUUAUAGCCUCUUAUCGUACACGGUGACUGGGAUCGAGGAC
rnacentral:rRNA from 1 species